UUUUUUCCUUUUUUUUUUUUUUUUGGUCUGAAAGUCUAACCUCUUUUGGUGAUGACAAAUUUUUUCCUCUUUUGAAGCUGUGGUAGAAAAGAGAAGAAGAGGGACUGAAAUCGGUAAGGUUCUAAAGUUUGAUUGAAAUCAGUAAGCUUCAAAAGUUUGAAGCUGUGGUAGAAAGGAGAAGAAGAGGGAUUGAAAUAGGUAAGGUUCUAAAGUUUGAAGCUUUCAUUUGGUUAGAUUUUGGGGGUUGCGUUUUUGUUGUUUUUUGCUGGAAUUGGGUUUUGGGUUUGAUUUCUUGUUUGGUUGUCUUUCGCAGUUCUAAAUAUUGUUCACUGGAAUAUCUAUGAAAGAAGAAUAGGGACUGAAAUCGACGAACAGAUGAAUUAGCUAGAUUUUGACCGAAAACCUCACUAUGAGUGAUUAAAGAUCUUAUACUUCAGCUUCAGCUUUCUUUGUCCAUAUAAUAUAUGUCUGGGAUUUAAAGCCAAUUAACUUGAAACAGACCAUGUUGGUAGUAGAUUACACGUUGGAUUCCACACAAAUUUGAUAUCCGGAACCAGUUUCUAUAUAAACGGUGCUUUAAGAUGAACACCUACUGUCUCUAAUCCAUCUUCUGUCCAAUAUACAAUAUUCAUAAGCAUCCCUAGGCUAAUUAAAAGCUCUAUACAUGUAUGAAUGCAUCUUCAGUUUAAUUAAAAAGUCCCCAGGAUUCUUCCUUAAUGAUCAGCUAAUUUCUUACCAUUAAACUGUUAAUUAUUGUGCUUCAACAUCUAACUAAUGUAAAAAUGGAGGCAUAGUGUUCAAUUGCAGCAAAGUAGUAUACUCCGCUCAUUUGCCAGUAACUGAUGUUCUGUUGUGUUUUAUCAUUGCACUGUUUCUAAUUACCAAUCGCACAAAUGUCCAAGGAUGUGGUGUUUAUCCGAUUAUAAUCUCUGAUCCUUUUCUUUUUUCAAUCAAAUUACUUUUCCUUGAUACAGAAGCUUCUGCAGAAUUGUGGUUAAUUGAACUUUAGUUGUUUAUCUGCAUUUGCUUUUCAAUCCACAUAUAAUCGUGUCAUUCCAUUCAUGUUCCCCUUACCUUCUUCUCUAAACUAUUUUACUUCUAUGAAUAAGAAAAGUUAACCUCAAAUAUAAUAAUGCUAUUCUUACUAAUUCUUCAAAUAUUUUGUAAGACUGUACACACAACUCCAUCCAUUCAAGACAAAACUCCAUCAACAGCUAUUUCAGGAGCAUACUUCAAUUCAAUUUAUGCAUUGUAAUACAAAAUUUUGGCCAAAAUGUACCUCACUUCAGAACAUAAUUUCAAUAAAAAAAAUUCCUCUGGAA